rnacentral:rRNA from 1 species
AUGGAUCGUGUAGCUGCUCAAGGCCCAGAGCAAGAGCGCUCGGCCUCGUCCCCUCGCGCCACCGCCGCCGCAACCAGCGCCACCAGGCGGUGCCCUGCUCACUUCCUCCCCGUGCCGCUCUCUCGAAAUCUCUCAUCUCUCUCGCCUCACCAUCUCUCUCUCUUCACAGGGAACGAGUGGGAUAUGCCAUGGCCGCCCGCGGAAGCUUCGUCAUUGCCGGGAUCAAGUUCCUCCGGCCCCGGCCUCGCAUCCGACGUCUCUAGCCUCCCUGCUGCCUUGCUCGUCCGCGCCAAGACCUCGCCUCUGCUCCACCUCAAGGCCUCGUCGUCGCUGCCGGACUUCGCCGGUGAACAGCACUGCCGCCCUGCGUCGCCUGAAGCCGCCGUGCCAUGCCCGAGUCGAGCGUGA